rnacentral:lncRNA from 1 species
AUUUGAAGUGAGAUUUUUUUGCUAGUUUGUAAGUGAAAUAUUUACCUCUUGAUAUGUAGGGUAGACCUGGCAUUGAUGGAAAGAGAGGUCUGGCUGGAAAAGAUGUGAGCAUUUUUUUCUCUUUGUCAAAUAAUAUUGUGUUUUUUUUAUGUUCCUGCUCUGUUCCAGCAUUUUAAUAAGAUCACUUAAAAAAUACCCACAAAUACCCCAAAAUGAAGUCUUCCUAAUUAUUCUCUUGAGACAGGGAGAGCAAGGACAAAGAGGAGAUGAUGGCAAAAAGGUAUGAUUUGGAGCAAGUCUGGCUAUUCCCCAAACACACCAACACAAUAAACCAUAUUUGUGAUUUUGCGUCUCUAACCCUAGGGUGAUACAGGUGAAUCGGGAACUGAGGUAAGAUAUUUUAUUUUAAUAAGGCAGUAUUAAUUAGCAUCAAAUUAUUAACAUGAUAAUUAAGCCCAAUUGUUAAUUUCUCCUAUCUCCCCCCAGGGUAAAAAAGGGGAAUUGGGUGCUCCGGGCCCACCUGGUACCCAUGUUCUGGUUACUCAACAAGAGGGUGCCACCCUUGAAGAGAUGAGACAGGCAUUCCCUUUGCCAAUGGGACCUCCUGGGGCUAAAGGUCCACCAGGGAUGAAGGGUGACGCUGGUCUUCCAGGGAAAGCAGCUGACAUGAAGAACAUUGAAGUAAUGUUUGAAGACUAUGGCAUAAGGCUGCCCUUGCUGAAGGCACUGAUUGACAGGCUGCUGCAGGACGGCAUGGAGGAGCUUCUGCAGGAGCUAACCACCUCUAGGAGAGUCAAUGAGAAGGAGAAACACGGCUCCAACAUUAUCACUGACUACACAAGAACUGUAAAGUAUGAGAUCUCCAAGGAGCCUCUGACAGAGAUGGACACCAUAGAGGAGGCAGUUGACUCUGACCUAGACAGACAGCUACCAGAACCUAACUCUGAUGCUUUGAAUGAAACGGCGGAGGGCCCCACAUUCUGGAGCCUUACCCCUCUUAAUGGUCUUAAUGGGGUCCAAGACGUGGGGAGGAUAGAGAGCACCUCUAAGGGGAUAGAGGGGACACUGACAGUGGACGAGGACUUCAGUGAAGCUCCCUCGCCCAAGUUGCCUUUAUCAAACUCAACAUUUAACAACACAACGUCUGAAGAGAGGGUCUCUGAGGUACCAGGGGCAAUAGUAGAAAGUGUUCUCCUCAGUGGGGAAUACUCCUUGAAGAAAAAGAAGAGUCGAGAACGGAAGGGCAAGGGACAGAAAGGACGACAUAAGAGGCAACGCCUGACGAGUACAGAGGAGGAAGCGGAGGAGGAGGAAUUAUACGAUGGGGAUGAGUACAGUUAUGAAUAUGUGGAUUCCACAGAUGAUCCCUUACUGUCAAUGGAAAAGCAAGGGGAGUUUGAAAUCACAACAGAAAGCACACUACAUGGAAUGAGCAAAGAGAGUGGCCUGACAACUUUAGGUCCAUAUCCAUCCCAGUCACCGGGAGACAGUGAAAAGCAGGGAGAAUUCAUCACACCUAUCCUUCCCAGCACAACGGAAGAAACAGAGAAGGAUUCCACAGAUGAUCCCUUACUGUCAAUGGAAAAGCAAGGGGAGUUUGAAAUCACAACAGAAAGCACACUACAUGGAAUGAGCAAAGAGAGUGGCCUGACAACUUUAGGUCCAUUUCCAUCCCAGUCACCGGGAGACAGUGAAAAGCAGGGAGAAUUCAUCACACCUAUCCUUCCCAGCACAACGGAAGAAACAGAGAAGGACCUUUCCUCAAUCCAGAAAGAUUGAGACUGUAGAUUUGUAAGCACGGAGUGUUUGUAUAAACUGUGAAGUGAAGUGUAUCGCUGGUGAGGAGCAGUCUACCCUUAACCUGACCAGCAUAACAUGAGGAGGGACUUCGCUUCGUCGCGCAAUGAUGAUGUUAUUUGUCCAAUGUCACUCGUCCAAUGCCACUUCUAUGACCAGAAUCGUGUUUUAUACUUAAUUCAAAUACCUAAAAGAUGAACAAUACAUAGGUAAAGCUAAGUUAAAUCAAGACAGUGUAUUAUAUAACGAUUAUUGGACUAAUAAAUUCUUCCAUCAGAUGUCAGUGUUAUUUUAGCAUUGACUUUGCAUAACUCAUUAUUAAAGAAGUUGAAAACGUUACAUUGGACCUAAGCUGUAGUAUCUCUCUGUCGCUUCAGUAUUACAACAGUUUUUACCUCGUAAUUUGUUCAACCAUAUUCUAAUGUUUCCAGUGUAUCGCUGCUUAUCAAUUCCUCAACCAAAUGUUAUUUAUUGAAAACAUGGAAAUAGAUUGUAUUUUGUUCCUUUUCUGUAUUAGUUACUACUUUUUCAAUGAAAUGUGUUUCCAUCAUAUUCUUCAGAAUAUAUAGUAUUGAAACCUGUUUACACUGGUGAAAUGUUGGCAGUCUAAAGUUCUCUCUUUGUAUUUAACCUCUCUGUGUGCAUGUAAGUAAAUGUUCAAAUGAUCAGAAGUCUUUGUGUCUUCUUUCAUCUAACAUUAGAGCCU